UAGGGAAUCUUCGGCAAUGGGGGCAACCCUGACCGAGCAACGCCGCGUGAGUGAAGAAGGUUUUCGGAUCGUAAAGCUCUGUUGUAAGAGAAGAACGUGUGUGAGAGUGGAAAGUUCACACAGUGACGGUAACUUACCAGAAAGGGACGGCUAACUACGUGCCAGCAGCCGCGGUAAUACGUAGGUCCCGAGCGUUGUCCGGAUUUAUUGGGCGUAAAGCGAGCGCAGGCGGUUUAAUAAGUCUGAAGUUAAAGGCAGUGGCUUAACCAUUGUUCGCUUUGGAAACUGUUAAACUUGAGUGCAGAAGGUGAGAGUGGAAUUCCAUGUGUAGCGGUGAAAUGCGUAGAUAUAUGGAGGAACACCGGUGGCGAAAGCGGCUCUCUGGUCUGUAACUGACGCUGAGGCUCGAAAGCGUGGGGAGCAAACAGG
rnacentral:rRNA from 1 species